CCCCACAGAAGGUAUUAAAGGAGUUCACUAUUAUUUAUUAUUUUAUUUUUGGCUGUGCUGGGCCUUCAUUGCUGUGCUGGCUUUUCUCUGCUUUCUAGCUGCAGUUGCAAUGCUUGGAUUUCUCAUCACAGUGGCUUCUCUUGUUGCGGCUUCUGGGCUUUGGAGCACAGGCUCAGUGGUUGUAGCGCAUGGACUUAGUUUCUCUGUUGCGUGUGGGAUCUUCUCGGAUCAAGGAUUGAACCUGUGUCUCCUGCAUUGGCAGAUGGGUUCUUUACCACUGAGUCAUCAGGGAAGCCCAGGAGUUCAUUAUUCUUCAUCACUACCUACUUACUACAAGAGGAAAAGGCACCCUGUCUUUUACUGUGAGACACAGUUCCUGUUUUAAGGAUUUUACAGUUUGGCAGAGAGAUAAGAGAAAUGAACGGCCAUCAGAAUACAAUACAUUAAAUGUCAAGAACAAGAAAAAUGAACUGCUGUGCAAUGGAAAUUCAGAGGUGAGAGAAUUGUUUUCCUGCCCAUUUCUUUGUGUCCAAAAUCCCAUUUGGAAUUGAAGUAUGUAUUUUGUAGUACUAUGCAGUCAUUUCUUCAUACAGAAAUCUUAAUUUGACGGGAUUUAACCUCUAUUUUUUGGUCAUUUGGGAUUUCAUGGAGUCUGGAAUGAAGGACACAGUUAAUUUGUAUCUUCAUACAAUAACUAUUCUUAAAAAAAAACAAACCUUGAACAAUAUAAAGUUUAUAUGUCUCUCAUGCAACAGCUCAGAGGUAGCAUGGCUGUCUAGAGGAGGCAGGUUUAUUAGACAGGGUUAUGCCAGGUGUCUUUUCUCCCAUACCACAUCAUUUCUAAGAGUUUCCAGGUAAUAACUCUUCUUAAGAUGAUAUUUAGGGAAAAAAGACAGAUUUUUGACUCACUAAAUAUCUAUGAGUAUACUUGAUAUUAAAGGCACUCGAAAGACAAUUUUUGCAUCUAUUUAUUUCUGCCACUUUAUUUUCUUGGGCUCCAAAACCACUGUGGAUGGUGACUGAAGCCCUGGUAUUAAAAGAUGCUUGCUCCUUGUAAGAAAAGCUAUGACAAACCUAGCCAGCAUAUUAAAAAGCAGAGACAUCUCUUUGUUGACAAAGGCCUAUGUAGUCAAAACUAUGGUUUUUCCAGUAGUCAUGUACAGAUGUGAGAGUUGGGCCAUAAAGACUGAACAUUGAAGAAUUGGAUGUUUUUGAACUGUGGUGUUGGAGAAGACUCUUGGAAGUCCCCUAGACAGCAAGGAGAUCCAACCAGUCCAUCCUAAAGUAAAUCAGUCCUGAAUAUUCAUUGGAAGGACUGAUGCUGAAGCUCCAAUGCUUUGGCUACCUGCUGCAAAGAACCAACUCAUUGGAAAAGACCCUGAUGC
rnacentral:lncRNA from 1 species